CCUGACUGCUAUCGGAUUGAUACUAAGCCAUGCGAGUCAUUGUAGUAAUACAAGGCAGACGGCUCAGUAACGCGUAGUCAACCUAACCUAUGGACGGGAAUAACCUCGGGAAACUGAGAAUAAUGCCCGAUAGAACACUAUGCCUGGAAUGGUUUGUGUUCCAAAUGAUUUAUCGCCGUAGGAUGGGACUGCGGCCUAUCAGUUUGUUGGUGAGGUAAUGGCCCACCAAGACUAUUACAGGUACGGGCUCUGAGAGGAGUGGCCCGGAGAUGGGUACUGAGACACGGACCCAGGCCCUAUGGGGCGCAGCAGGCGAGAAAACUUUGCAAUGUGCGAAAGCACGACAAGGUUAAUCCGAGUGGUUUCUGCUAAAGGAACCUUUUGUCGGUCCUAGAAACACCGAUGAAUAAGGGGUGGGCAAGUUCUGGUGUCAGCCGCCGCGGUAAAACCAGCACCUCAAGUGGUCAGGAUGAUUAUUGGGCCUAAAGCAUCCGUAGCCUGCUUUGUUAGUUUUCGGUUAAAUCUGUACGCUCAACGUACAGGCUGCCGGGAAUACUGCAAAGCUAGGGAGUGGGAGAGGUAGACGGUACUCGGUAGGAAGGGGUAAAAUCCUUUGAUCUAUUGAUGACCACCUGUGGCGAAGGCGGUCUACCAGAACACGUCCGACGGUGAGGGAUGAAAGCUGGGGGAGCAAACCGGAUUAGAUACCCGGGUAGUCCCAGCUGUAAGCCAUGCAAACUCAGUGAUGCAUUGGCUUGUGGCCAAUGCAGUGCUGCAGGGAAGCCGUUAAGUUUGCCGCCUGGGAAGUACGUACGCAAGUAUGAAACUUAAAGGAAUUGGCGGGGGAGCACCACAAGGGGUGAAGCCUGCGGUUC
rnacentral:rRNA from 1 species